ACAGGAUUAGCUUGCUAAUCGCUGACGAGUGGCGGACGGGUGAGUAAUGCUUGGGAACUUGCCUUCGGGAGGGGGAUAACAGUUGGAAACGACUGCUAAUACCGCAUAACGUCUACGGACCAAAGCGGGCUUCGGCUCGCACCUGAAGAGAGGCCCAAGUGAGAUUAGCUAGUUGGUAAGGUAACGGCUUACCAAGGCGACGAUCUCUAGCUGUUCUGAGAGGAAGAUCAGCCACACUGGGACUGAGACACGGCCCAGACUCCUACGGGAGGCAGCAGUGGGGAAUAUUGCACAAUGGGGGAAACCCUGAUGCAGCCAUGCCGCGUGUGUGAAGAAGGCCUUCGGGUUGUAAAGCACUUUCAGUUGUGAGGAAAGGUUGGUAGUUAAUACCUGCCAGCUGUGACGUUAACAACAGAAGAAGCACCGGCUAACUCCGUGCCAGCAGCCGCGGUAAUACGGAGGGUGCGAGCGUUAAUCGGAAUUACUGGGCGUAAAGCGCACGCAGGCGGUUUGUUAAGCUAGAUGUGAAAGCCCCGGGCUC
rnacentral:rRNA from 1 species